ensembl:ribozyme RNaseP_nuc Nuclear RNase P
GCCAUGAGGAAGCUUACACAAGGUGGGGUACUCCCAAGCCUAAAUACACAGUUGGCAGGCGGCUCUGCUGUGUGCAGGUGUCCAUGGUCCCUGGGAAGGUCUGAGGCUCUCCCCAAGUAGGAAGAUAAGUUCGCAGACAGCAGGGUUCCAAGUGUGGGCAGACUGGGCAGGAGAGGCCCUGAGUGGGUGGAUGUCUCCCUUGACAGAGUUUGGAACAGACUCCUGGUCAACAGCCAUUGAGCCUGGCUUUCCUCUAAGCUGCCCAGAUUGGGACUCAACACCGCUAUAGAUAUGGGGAGACUAUCAGUCUAUCACCAGUCUCUGUUGGC